rnacentral:rRNA from 1 species
UACGAGGGGGGCAAGCGUUGUCCGGAAUUAUUGGGCGUAAAGGGCGCGUAGGCGGUUUGACAAGUCUGAUGUGAAAUCUAUGGGCUCAACCCAUAGCCUGCAUUAGAAACUGUCGGGCUUGAGUAUGGGAGAGGUGAGUGGAAUUUCCGGUGUAGCGGUGAAAUGCGUAGAUAUCGGAAGGAACACCUGUGGCGAAAGCGGCUCACUGGACCAUAACUGACGCUGAGGCGCGAAAGCUAGGGGAGCAAACAGG